GAAAGAACACCAGACUGGACGACAAGAAUCUAAAUUUGAUCAUCACUGACGUGAACCAAAGAAAUUCAGAUUUGGUGAUUCUGGGCAGCUCAAACCAUCAGCAACUCCCUGAUGCAUGGAGCCCAUGGUGGUACCUGUAGCUAUCAUUCAGAGACCUGCUCUUAAUUUAAAUGUCUAUCAUCCACUAAUAGAAGGAAAGCGAUGGAGAGAGAGCCAGAGAUGAUGAACUGUGAACAGAAUGGAGAACAAAUCAGUGCCCUAAAAUCUUCAUUUCUGUCCCUACUGUGUUCACCCUUGCAUAGUCAGUCACUAAGACCUGCCUCUCCCAUUCCUAAGAAAUUGAUGUUUCUGAUGGCUCCAUCAAACACUUCAGGGACUUCUUAAAUAUUUAGACAAAGAACAAAUAGACUUCUUUUAUAGUGAGAAUUAGCACAAAUCACUCUCAGAUCAAGUAACCCUGAUAAAAAGGUAAAAAAAAAAAAAAAAAAAGCUUUUUUCAAUGACUUGGUCUUGGUGAAAGUUUGGAAGAAACAGAGAAAGGGUGGAGGGAGGAAGAGAGAGAAAGAAAAGCAGAGAGAGGCAGAGAAGGAAGAGGGAAAUAGAGAUGUGUACGUGUGUGCAUGUGUGUAUUUAUACAUAGAUAUGUGUAUAAAUAAAAAAUGUAUGUGUGCCUCUAAAUGUACAUGUGCUUAUACUUAUGUGUUUAUCUUUGUGUGUAUCACUGCGUGUAUAAGAAGUUUCAUAAAACAUUCUGAAGAUCUGAGAGAAAAUUGUUCUGUCACAAACACACACAUAUAAGAUAGAUAAUUAUACAUAGAUAGAUGAUAGAUAAAUGAUAAA